UUGAACGCUGGCGGCAUGCUUUACACAUGCAAGUCGAACGGCAGCACGGGGGCAACCCUGGUGGCGAGUGGCGAACGGGUGAGUAACAUAUCGGAACAUAUCCGGAAGUGGGGGAUAACGUACCGAAAGGUACGCUAAUACCGCAUAUGCCCUGAGGGGGAAAGGAGGGGAUCGCAAGACCUUUCGCUUUCGGAGUGGCCGAUAUCGGAUUAGCUAGUUGGCGGGGUAAAGGCCCACCAAGGCGACGAUCCGUAGCUGGUCUGAGAGGACGACCAGCCACACUGGAACUGAGACACGGUCCAGACUCCUACGGGAGGCAGCAGUGGGGAAUUUUGGACAAUGGGGGCAACCCUGAUCCAGCCAUGCCGCGUGAGUGAAGAAGGCCUUCGGGUUGUAAAGCUCUUUCAGCCGGAAAGAAACGGUCACGGUGAAUAUCCGUGACUAAUGACGGUACCGGCAGAAGAAGCACCGGCUAACUACGU
rnacentral:rRNA from 1 species